rnacentral:tRNA from 4 species
GUCAUUGUAGCUCAGCUGGAUAGAGCAUUCGCCUUCUAAGCGAACGGUCGCAGGUUCGAAUCCUGCCAGUGACG